UACGAAGGGUGCAAGCGUUAAUCGGAAUUACUGGGCGUAAAGGGUGCGUAGGCGGUUGUUUAAGUCUGUCGUGAAAUCCCCGGGCUCAACCUGGGAAUGGCGAUGGAUACUGGACAGCUAGAGUGUGUCAGAGGAUGGUGGAAUUCCCGGUGUAGCGGUGAAAUGCGUAGAGAUCGGGAGGAACAUCAGUGGCGAAGGCGGCCAUCUGGGACAACACUGACGCCGAAGCACGAAAGCGUGGGGAGCAAACAGG
rnacentral:rRNA from 1 species